rnacentral:lncRNA from 1 species
CAAUAAGAAAAACUUUUUGAUGCUCCACCAAGUUAGGACUUAAAUCAAAACAUAUAAGUAGAACCGAAUCAAUCAUAUUUUUUACAAUUUCUUUCCUCCAAACUUUUAACAUCUAUCAAAUACUUUCCAUAGUAAUCAUGCAAAUCUUUUAAGAUCAAAUUCUUCAUGUCAUACUAGAUUGUAACAUUGACCUCAAUAACAAUGGCAA